rnacentral:rRNA from 1 species
CAGCGCCGCGGGAAUACGAAGGGUGCAAGCGUUAAUCGGAAUUACUGGGCGUAAAGCGUGCGUAGGCGGUGAGUUAAGUCUGCUGUGAAAUCCCCGGGCUCAACCUGGGAAUGGCAGUGGAUACUGGCUCGCUAGAGUGUGUCAGAGGAUGGUGGAAUUCCCGGUGUAGCGGUGAAAUGCGUAGAGAUCGGGAGGAACAUCAGUGGCGAAGGCGGCCAUCUGGGACAACACUGACGCUGAGGCACGAAAGCGUGGGGAGCAAACAGGAUUAGAUACCCGCGUAGUCCCUGACUCUUAUACC